rnacentral:tRNA from 3 species
GGCGGCAUGGCUAAGUGGUAAGGCGGGGGACUGCAAAUCCUUUAUCCCCAGUUCGAAUCUGGGUGUCGCCUAAUCAACAAA